UUAAGCGACUAAGCGUACACGGUGGAUGCCCUGGCAGUCAGAGGCGAUGAAGGACGUGCUAAUCUGCGAUAAGCGUCGGUAAGGUGAUAUGAACCGUUAUAACCGGCGAUUUCCGAAUGGGGAAACCCAGUGUGAUUCGUCACACUAUCAUUAACUGAAUCCAUAGGUUAAUGAGGCGAACCGGGGGAACUGAAACAUCUAAGUACCCCGAGGAAAAGAAAUCAACCGAGAUUCCCCCAGUAGCGGCGAGCGAACGGG
rnacentral:rRNA from 1 species